rnacentral:rRNA from 1 species
GCCCAGCCGUAAACAAUUAACUCACAACAACCAGCGCCUGGAAAUUACGAGCAAUGCUUAAAACCCAAAGGACUUGACGGUGUCCCACCCAACUAGAGGAGCCUGUUCUAUAAUCGAUGAUCCCCGCUAUACCUAACCAUUUCUAGCUAUUCAGUCUGUAUACCUCCGUCGAAAGCUUACCAUGUGAACGAACUUUAGUAGGCCCAAGGACCCCAUCAACACGUCAGGUCAAGGUGCAGCUUACGAGAUGGAAAGUAAUGGGCUACAAUUUCUAAUCUAGAACAAACGAAAUACUGUGUGAGACCACAGUCACGAAGGCGGAUUUAGUAGUAAAAAGAAAAUAGAGAGUUCUUUUUAACCCGGCUCUGGGACGUGUACACACCGCC